rnacentral:rRNA from 1 species
UACGAGUGCCUCAAGCGUUAUCCGGAAUCAUUGGGCGUAAAGGGUGUGUAGGUGGCUCUGUUAGUCUCGCGUUAAAUUCUUCGGCUUAACCGGGGGCAUGCGCGGGAAACGGCAGAACUAGAGGAUGCAAGGGGUCUGCGGAACUCAUAGUGUAGCGGUGAAAUGCGUUGAUAUUAUGGGGAACACCAAAAGCGAAGGCAGCAGACUGGGGCACUCCUGACACUGAGACACGAAAGCGUGGGUAGCGAAUGGG